GAAGCUAUAGUGAUGAUUAAAGCUCCGUGGAUGACAUUCACCGCGUGCCUUAAUAUUUUUGUUAUGAAUAAUAUUUAUAACUCAUCAAGGCAAUCGCGGAAAAUGGCAUACAAAACGGACUUUAUAAUGUUUACUUAUAAUGAU
rnacentral:pre_miRNA from 1 species